GCCAGUGAGGUGUAGUGGUUUGAAUGUUGGACUCUGACUCUGGAGACCAGGAUUCAAAUCCCAGCUCAGCCA